AACAUUAACAUAUAAUUUUUACAAAAGAAUGAAGUAACAUUUUGUCAAAAAAAAAAAAAAAAUAGAUGAAGUAACAUACCAACAAUAUAACAUUGACAUAUAAUUUUAACAAAAGAAUGAAGUAACACACGAUUGAUAAAAAUUAAUAUUUUUAAGGUGAAUAAGUGUGGUGUCUGAGGUUCGAAUUCCAACAUCUGUAUAUAUUUGGGACCACAUAUUUCAUUCUCUUUGAUAUGCAUUGAGAUUUGUUUUUGUCUACUACAUCUACAA
rnacentral:lncRNA from 1 species